rnacentral:rRNA from 1 species
CACCCAUACGGGGAUGGAGCGACAGAAGUAUGGAAAUAGGAUAAGGUAGCGGCGAGACGAGCCGUUUAAAUAGGUGUCAAGUGGAAGUGCAGUGA